AGAGAAAGAGGGAGGCAGGCCUAACACAUGCAAGUCGAACGAACCUUUCGGGACUAGUUGCGCACGGGUGUGUAACACGUGGGAACGUGCCUUUAGGUUCGGAAUAACUCAGGUAAACUGGUGCUAAUACCGGAUGAUCUCUUCGGAGAAAAGAUUUAUCGCCUUUAGAGCGGCCCGCGUUCGAUUAGCUAGUUGGUGGAGGAAAUGCCUCACCAGGGUGACGAUCAUUACCUGGGAUGGGAGAGUGAGCGCCCACAGUGGUACUUAGACACGGCCCAAACUACUACGGGAGGCAGCAGUGGGGAAUCUUGCGAAAUGGGGGAGAGGAUGAAGGAGCCAUGCCGGGUGAAUGAUGAAGGUCUUAGAAUUGUAAAAUUCUUUCACCGGGGACGGUAAUGACGGUACCCAGAGAAGAAGCCCCGGCUAACUUCGUG
rnacentral:rRNA from 1 species